UAAGUCUGCAUUCUGUAUUUUUCAGACCAGGACCUGUGUGUGGUUUGAUUCUUACCAGGAGGAAGGUGGCAGCUAGCAACAGCACUUUGAGGUUUAAACUCAUUCCUUGAGGCCACCUCUUCCAUAUCCGCCCAAUAUUCUCACCAAUACUUGAUACCACCUUCCAUCCCCCAAAAAUGAGACAGGGUCAUUCUCAUUGUAAUGUAUUUAAAUAAAACUACAUGCUGGAGAGAUUCUGACCUGGAGCUCCUGCUCAGAGAGGCAACGUGUGUUACAGCAGGAACCCUGGAUCCUUACGGUUGAGAUGCCCUCAGAGUCACAGACCUCAAAAUAAGGGUCUGCAGCCUGGAUCACAUGUGAGAGGUCCUGUGUAUCAUCAGUGGGUCCAAUCUGUCUGUGGAAAGCCCUGAAGAUCAUAUCAACAUGUUUCUCCCUUUCUAGACCAAACGGAAGAGGUUGCGUGGUCACA